UUGCUGAACAUUAUUGCUGUUUACUGUUUAUCUCUAUCUAUAAUAAUAUUCAAGAUAAUAACCAAAAACAGCAAAAUUUCCUUAAAAUUACUAAUUCAGGGGCAGCAACCCAACAACGGGUUAUCCGAUUCAUCUGAAAAUUUCAGGGCAGAUAGAUCUUCACCUGUUUAACAAUUCUACCCCUGUCAAAUGCUUUGGUUUUUGAGUUAUAAGCCAAAAACUGCAUUUUACCCCUAUGUUCUAUUUUUAGCCAUGGCGGCCAUCUUGGAUGGUUGGCCGGGUCACCGGACACAUUUUUUAAACUAGAUACCCCAAUGAUGAUUGUGGCCAAGUUUGGUUUAAUUUGGCCCAGUAGUUUCAGAGGAGAAGAUUUUUUUUAAAGUUAACGACGACGACGGACGACGACGGACGCCGGACGCCAAGUGAUGAGAAAAGCUCACUUGGCCUUUUAGGCCAGGUGAGCUAAAAAACAGCAAAAUUUCCUCAAAAUUACCAAUUCAGGGCAGCAACCUAACAACCGAUUAUCCGAUUCAUCUGAAAAUUCCAGGGCAGAUAGAUCAUGACCUGAUCAACAAUUUUACUUCCUGUCAUAUUUGCUCUUAAUGCUUUGGUUUUUGAGUUAUAAGCCAAAAACUGCAUUUUACCCCUAUGUUCUAUUUUUAGCCAUGGCGGCCAUCUUGGUUGGUUGGGCGGGGCACCGGACACAUUUUUUAAACUAGAUACCCCAAUGAUGAUUAAGGCCAAGUUUGGUUAAAUUUGGCUCAGUAGUUUCAGAGGAGAAGAUUUUUCUAAAAGAUUACUAAGAUUUACGAAAAAAUGGUUAAAAAUUGACUAUAAAGGGCAAUAACUCCUAAAGUGGUCAACUGACCAUUUUGGUCAUGUUGACUUAUUUGUAGAUCUUACUUUGCUGAACAUUAUUGCUGUUUACAGUUUAUCUCUAUCUAUAAUAAUAUUCAAGAUAAUAACCAAAAACAGCAAAAUUUCCUUAAAAUUACCAUUUCAGGGGCAGCAACCCAACAACGAAAUGUCGGAUUCAUCUGAAAAUUUCAGGGCAGAUAGAUCUUGACCUGAUGAACAAUAUUACCCCUGUCAGAUUUGCUUUAAAUGCUUUGGUUUUUGAGUUAUAAGCCAAAAACUGCAUUUUACCCCUAUGUUCUAUUUUUAGCCAUGGCGGCCAUCUUGGUUGGUUGGGCGGGGCACCGGACACAUUUUUUUAAACUAGAUACCCCAAUAAUGAUUGUGGCCAAGUUUGGUUAAAUUUGGCCCAGUAGUUUCAGAGGAGAAGAUUUUUGUAAAAGUUAACGCAGGACGACGACGGACGACGGACGACGACGACGGACGCCGGACGCCAAGUGAUGAGAAAAGCUCACUUGGCCUUUCGGCCAGGUGAGCUAAAAA
rnacentral:lncRNA from 1 species